ACAUUCAUAUGUUUUUCUUUGGGACUGAGGCAUUGGAGCAGUUUGUGGACCGUCUCAUUGGGUGGUCACAGUACUGCAAUCUUAUCCUGCACUUUGUAGCAUUUAUAGAGAGGGCACUUAAUAAGAUUUCAGCUGCUCAUACUGAACCUGAUUUAGAGGGAACCUUUAGCUGCAAUCUUUCUAUUCCCUCAUGGAGAGUUUGUAUCUGGCUGGUGCACGUCUGACCCUCUAGUUUCUGAAGAGGAUGCACCAUUAGACUAUUGUACCUCGAUCCUCUUAUGCUCAUCAGAGAACUUCGUUGUUGAAUAAAGUGAUUGCAAACCUUCAUUGCUUUGUUCCUGAUGUAUGCCUGGAUGAGAAGGAUCUGUCAACAAAUUCAUUCGGUUCAUAUAGAAGGACUAUCAGAAACUGUCAGAUGGAUUCUUUUCUCUACUUCAGAGCUGACAGAGUAUCCACAAUUAGCAAGAACUUAUGACUAGCUUCCUUUAUUGGACUCUAAGCCCAGAUGAAAAAAAGAGUAGCCCAACGCUACAUUUUUUCUGGAAUAAGCGUCCUAAAAAGGAGUUUUAAUGCAUAA